CCGUGCAAAGGUAGCAUAAUCAUUAGAGGUUUAAUUGGAAUCUGGUAUGAAGGGUUGGACAAAGGAAAAGCUGUCUUUACAUUAUAAGUUGAAUUUUACUUUUAAGUGAAAAGGCUUAAAUAAGUCAAAGGGACGAUAAGACCCUAUAAAGCUUUAUAAAUUAUUUAGAUUUAAUUAAUUUAAAAUAUAAAAAUUAAUUCUACAUUAUUUUAUUUUAUUGGGGCGAUAUGAGUAUAAUUAUUAUUAACUGCUUAAAAAGGAAACAAGUUUAGGUGAAUAUAGAAUUAAAUGAUCCUUUUUAAAGAUUAGAAGACUAAGUUACUUUAGGGAUAACAGCGUUAUUUCUUUUGAGAGUCCAUAUCGAAAAAGAAGAUUGCGACCUCGAUGUUGAAUUAAAAUAUCUAUAUAAUGCAGCCGUUAUAAAAGAGGGUCUGUUC
rnacentral:rRNA from 1 species